rnacentral:rRNA from 1 species
GACGAACGCUGGCGGCGUGCUUAACACAUGCAAGUCGAACGCUGAAGCUUGGUGCUUGCCCUGGGUGGGUGAGUGGCGAACGGGUGAGUAAUACGUGAGUAACCUGCCCUUGACUCUGGGAUAAGCCUGGGAAACUGGGUCUAAUACUGGAUACGACAUGUCACCGCAUGGUGGUGUGUGGAAAGGGUUUUACUGGUUUUGGAUGGGCUCACGGCCUAUCAGCUUGUUGGUGGGGUAAUGGCUCACCAAGGCGACGACGGGUAGCCGGCCUGAGAGGGUGACCGGCCACACUGGGACUGAGACACGGCCCAGACUCCUACGGGAGGCAGCAGUGGGGAAUAUUGCACAAUGGGCGGAAGCCUGAUGCAGCGACGCCGCGUGAGGGAUGACGGCCUUCGGGUUGUAAACCUCUUUCAGCACGGAAGAAGCGAAAGUGACGGUACGUGCAGAAGAAGCGCCGGCUAACUACGUG